GAAAUGCGAUAAGUAGUGUGAAUUGCAGAAUUCCGUGAAUCAUCGAAUCUUUGAACGCACAUUGCGCCCUCUGGUAUUCCGGGGGGCAUGCCUGUUUGAGCGCCAACAAGACACACCUCGGGCCUCCCUCCCCUCGCAAGGGGGGCGGGCGGCACCGGUCCUGGGGGCUCGUGGCGUCAGCGCCACGCCCUCGAAAUGCAUCGGAUGGCGGAACCCACCAGCCCGUGCCCGACGUAGUAAACUUCAUUCUCGACGGGACCACGCCUGGCAGUUCCUGCCGAUGAGACCCCUCAGCAUUCCUGGCUUCAAAUCAGGUAGGGAUACCCGCUGAACUUAA
rnacentral:misc_RNA from 1 species